UUACAAGCAAACCUAGUUCGGUACUAAUUGCUUUUCAUGAGUUUCAAACAAAGAACCGUAUAAUUCGUGAAUCUCGUCGGAAAGUAGGUGUUUUACUGACUUUACUUCAAGAAGACAACAUGAUGGCGAGAUCAUUGCUGUCCAUUCUAUGAACCUCAUUCAGAUUCAAACCAUCCGGUCCGGCUGUAAUAGCACUACAAUCCCUGGUAACCAAUUCCAGACACCUGCCAUUCUCUGGAUAAGAAUCUUGCUCCUCAUGUUGCCUUCCCGCUUUGCUCCCUA